CCUACGGGUGGCAGCAGUAGGGAAUCUUUCACAAUGGGCGAAAGCCUGAUGGAGCAACGCCGCGUGCAGGAUGAAGGCCUUCGGGUUGUAAACUGCUUUUAUAAGCGAGAAAUAUGAUGGUAACUUAUGAAUAAGGAUCGGCUAACUACGUGCCAGCAGCCGCGGUCAUACGUAGGAUCCGAGCAUUAUCCGGAGUGACUGGGUGUAAAGAGUUGCGUAGGUGGCAUAAUAAGUAGCUAGUGAAAUCUGGUGGCUCAACCAUUCAGACUAUUAGCUAAACUGUUAAGCUCGAGACCGUUAGGGGUAACUGGAAUUUCUAGUGUAGGGGUGAAAUGCGUAGAUAUUAGAAGGAACACCAAGAGCGUAGGCAGGUUACUGGGACGGUUCUGACACUAAGGCACGAAAGCGUAGGGAGCAAACGGGAUUAGAUACCCCUGUAGUC
rnacentral:rRNA from 1 species